rnacentral:snRNA from 1 species
GAAUGUGAGGGCAAUCUGGCUGCAAAUUCUGUCAGACCAUUGACCUCCAGGGUUGAUUUGGCUGAUAUGGGUGGCUAUGCAGGUAUCUGCUUUCUCCCUCACCACUUUUAUGUGUCCCUCCUGAAGUUGCAUGCUCAGUUGAAGAGGAUGACCUUCCCCCAAUAGUGGAGGUCCAGUCUUUUGUCAAGAGUAUACAAAUAGCUGUGCUCCCCUUCUAGAGCCCCAAAACUCUCAAGGUCCUGUCAGGUGGACAACCAGAGAUUUAUCAUCACAAGUCCACCCCUU